AUUUUUUUUUUUUUGGCCACGAUGGGAUCUCUUCUCCGGAUGAAUCGCCUUUUAUCUUCCAUCGUGGAGUCAUGUAACUGCAUCAUUGACCCACAGUUGCCUGCUGACGACUUGCUAAUGAAGUAUCAGUACAUUUCUGAUUUUUUCAUUGCAGUUGCUUAUUUUUCCAUCCCAAUCGAACUGGUAUACUUUGUCCAGAAAUCAGCUG
rnacentral:misc_RNA from 1 species